rnacentral:rRNA from 1 species
AGGAAUGUGUCCGAAGGUGGGGGAUAACCCUGGGAAACUAGGGCUAAUACCGCAUAUGGGCUGAGGCUCAAAGCAGUGAUGCGCCUUCGGAGUAGCCUGCGCCUGAUUAGCUAGUUGGUGGGGUAAAGGCCUACCAAGGCUACGAUCAGUAGCUGGUCUGAGAGGACGACCAGCCACACUGGGACUGAGACACGGCCCAGACUCCUACGGGAGGCAGCAGUGGGGAAUAUUGGACAAUGGGCGCAAGCCUGAUCCAGCAAUGCCGCGUGUGUGAAGAAGGUCUUCGGAUCGUAAAGCACUUUCGACGGGGACGAUGAUGACGGUACCCGUAGAAGAAGCCCCGGCUAACUUCGUGCCAGCAGCCGCGGUAAUACGAAGGGGGCUAGCGUUACUCGGAAUUACUGGGCGUAAAGGGCGCGUAGGCGGCGCUCCAAGUUAGGCGUGAAAGUCCUGGGCUCAACCUGGGAACUGCGCUUAAGACUGGAGUGCUUGAGGAUGGAAGAGGGUCGUGGAAUUCCCAGU